rnacentral:rRNA from 1 species
UGGGGAAUAUUGGACAAUGGGCGCAAGCCUGAUCCAGCCAUGCCGCGUGAGUGAUGAAGGCCCUAGGGUUGUAAAGCUCUUUCACCGGUGAAGAUAAUGACGGUAACCGGAGAAGAAGCCCCGGCUAACUUCGUGCCAGCAGCCGCGGUAAUACGAAGGGGGCUAGCGUUGUUCGGAUUUACUGGGCGUAAAGCGUACGUAGGCGGACUAUUAAGUCAGGGGUGAAAUCCCGGGGCUCAACCCCGGAACUGCCUUUGAUACUGGUAGUCUUGAGUUCGAGAGAGGUGGGUGGAAUUCCGAGUGUAGAGGUGAAAUUCGUAGAUAUUCGGAGGAAAACCAGUGGCGAAGGCGGCUCACUGGCUCGAUACUGACGCUGAGGUGCGAAAGCGUGGGGAGCAAACAGG